GAUUAACGCUAGCGGCAGGCAUAAUACAUGCAAGUUGAACGGCAGCACAGGUAGCAAUACUGGGUGGCGAGUGGCGCACGGGUGCGUAACACGUAUGCAACCUACCCUAUACAGGCGAAUAACCUUUAGAAAUGAGGGCUAAUACGCCGUAGUAUUACAGAUGGGCAUCUAUUUGUAAUUAAAGAUUUAUCGGUAUAGGAUGGGCAUGCGUCCCAUUAGUUAGUUGGUAAGGUAACGGCUUACCAAGACGAUGAUGGGUAGGGGAUCUGAGAGGACUUACCCCCACACUGGUACUGAGACACGGACCAGACUCCUACGGGAGGCAGCAGUAAGGAAUAUUGGGCAAUGGCCGCGAGGCUGACCCAGCCAUGCCGCGUGCAGGAAGACGGCCUUAUGGGUUGUAAACUGCUUUUAUACGGGAAUAAUAGAGUGUACGCGUACAUUUAUGCAAGUAUCGUAUGAAUAAGCAUCGGCUAACUACGUG
rnacentral:rRNA from 1 species